UACGGGAGGCAGCAGGGGGAAUAUUGCACAAUGGGCGAAAGCCUGAUGCAGCUAUGCCGCGUGUAUGAAGAAGGCCUUAGGGUUGUAAAGUACUUUCAUCGGGGAGGAAAAACAAAACUAAUAAUUUUAUUUCUUGACGUUACCCGAAAAAGAAGCACCGGCUAACUCCGUGCCAGCAGCCGCGGUAAUACGGAGGGUGCUAGCGUUAAUCAGAAUUACUGGGCGUAAAGAGCACGUAGGUGGUUUUUUUAAGUCAGAUGUGAAAUCCCUGGGCUUAACCUGGAACUGCAUUUUGAAACUGAAAUACUAGAGUAUCGUAGAGGGAGGUAGAAUUCUAGGUGUAGCGGUGAAAUGCGUAGAUAUCUGGAGGAAUACCUGUGGCGAAAGCGGCCUCCUAAACGAAUACUGACACUGAGGUGCGAAAGCGUGGGGAGCAAACAGGGAUUAGAUACC
rnacentral:rRNA from 1 species